rfam:Schistosoma mattheei strain Denwood, Zambia genome assembly, scaffold: SMTD_scaffold0014023
AUCCAGCUUACGAGUCCCUAAAAGGAUGAAACACGUGUCGUGGAU